rnacentral:lncRNA from 1 species
UUGUCAUAUUCCCAUUUUUAGCAUUCACAUAUGCCUGGAUCAUCUCUGCACUUUUUAACUUGGCAUUUGCAUUUCUGCACCAUGACAGAGAUGUCCCAGGCCAUUUUGGGUGCCUGAAAAAAUGUCUCUUCCACGAACCAACACUGUAGAAAAGUGCUGCACAAUCACAGGGCACUUUGGUGCCUGACAUUAUGAACAGAAGCAGAUAAGCUUCUAUUUUUCGUCCCUUUCUCCCUAGUUUUGCCAAUAAUUAGUCAUCAUUUAAUAUGUACUAAAUAGCUAGGGAGGCCAUUAGCGAUAUAAGCCAUAAAGUGAAAGAGGAAGAAUGAGUAUGCUUACGAGUGGAGGAGGAGAAGGUGUCGUAUGUAGUUCUGCUUGUAUAGACAAAGGCGUGGGCAUGCGCAGGCACAUUGUGCAACAUGCGCACUACCCUACGAGCACGCUGUGCCGCCUGCAGGGGGUGCCAAUUGUGAGUGUGAUGCUACUCGCAGGGCCUAAAGGAUAUGUGUGUGGCUUUGCCAUGACUCCCAAAAGCUAAAUCAGUGAGGUCUACUUGAUAUGGGCAUAAGGAGAGGAAGGUAACGAGGCAGAUGGCCUUUAUGCAUGAUGGAGAUGUUUGCUACCGGGGGUGUGAGCGAGUGAUGUGUGGGCAGCCUGUGGUGGUGCUC